GCCUAUCUCAUUUUAUUUCCAAAUCCAGCCUUGCUCAAAAGGCGUUAGAUUCUUCACUGAACACCUAUUACCUUGUUUAUACUUAAGAAAAAACCGCAUUAACAAAAAACCGAUUUGAUUCAACACAUAUUUAUUUCUAGCGUUUAUUCCUCAGUCUUUAUAGCGCACUCGAUUAAACCGUAUUGAAAGGUAAACAAACUCCAUUAGUCUUAUUCGAUAUCUAUAUAAUAAUAAAUUUGCGCCGUGGACCGAAAUAGAAGCGAACAGUAAUUCAAUACACUUUUCGAUUUCAACGCGUAUUGAAAUUUUGUUUAUGCAUCUGUUUUGAAUCACACCGAACUGAGUCACAGCGCUUUAUGUGCCGGUGUAAACAAGGUAUAAGUAAUAUAAUUC